GAUGAACGCUGGCGGCAUGCCUAAUACAUGCAAGUCGAACGAGAGGAAGGAAAGCUUGCUUUUCUGAAUCUAGUGGCGAACGGGUGAGUAACACGUAGGUAACCUGCCCAUGUGCCCGGGAUAACUUCUGGAAACGGAUGCUAAAACCGGAUAGGUAGCAGACAAGCAUUUGACUGCUAUUAAAGUGGCUAAGGCCAUGAACAUGGAUGGACCUGCGGUGCAUUAGCUAGUUGGUGAGGUAACGGCCCACCAAGGCGACGAUGCAUAGCCGGCCUGAGAGGGCGGACGGCCACAUUGGGACUGAGACACGGCCCAAACUCCUACGGGAGGCAGCAGUAGGGAAUUUUCGUCAAUGGGGGGAACCCUGAACGAGCAAUGCCGCGUGAGUGAAGAAGGUCUUCGGAUUGUAAAGCUCUGUUGUAAGAGAAAAACGACAUUCAUAGGGAAUGAUGAGUGAGUGAUGGUAUCUUACC
rnacentral:rRNA from 1 species